AUUCCUUUGGUGGCACAUAUUUAUUAACCUGGAAUAAUAAAGAGAUCAUCAGCAUGGCCUCUCCCUAGGAUGGCACACACAAAUUCCUAAAGGACUCCAUUUUAU
ensembl:snRNA Gm25601 predicted gene, 25601